rnacentral:rRNA from 1 species
GUGUCAGCCGCCGCGGUAAGACGGAGGGUGCAAGCGUUGUCCGGAAUUAUUGGGCGUAAAGCGUUCGUAGGCGGUAUGCCAAGUCUGAUGUUAAAGCCUGGAGCUCAACUCCAGUUCAGCAUUGGAUACUGGCAAACUAGAGUACAGAAGAGGCAAGGGGAAUUCCUAGUGUAGCGGUGAAAUGCGUAGAUAUUAGGAGGAACACCGGUGGCGUAAGCGCCUUGCUGGGCUGUAACUGACGCUGAGGGACGAAAGCCAGGGGAGCAAAUGGGAUUAGAAACCCUAGUAGUCC